UACAGAGGUCUCAAGCGUUGUUCGGAUUCAUUGGGCGUAAAGGGUGCGUAGGCGGCGCGGUAAGUCGGGUGUGAAAUUCGAGGGCUUAACUUCGAAACUGCAUUCGAUACUGCCGUGCUUGAGGACUGGAGAGGAGACUGGAAUUUACGGUGUAGCGGUGAAAUGCGUAGAUAUCGUAAGGAAGACCAGUGGCGAAGGCGGGUCUCUGGACAGUUCCUGACGCUGAGGCACGAAGGCCAGGGGAGCAAACGGGAUUAGAACCUACCCAGUCAGU
rnacentral:rRNA from 1 species